rnacentral:rRNA from 1 species
UGGGGAAUUUUCCGCAAUGGGCGAAAGCCUGACGGACCAAUGCCGCGUGGAGGUGGAAGGCCUACGGGUCGUCAACUUCUUUUCUCGGAGAAGAAACAAUGACGGUAUCUGAGGAAUAAGCAUCGGCUAACUCUGUGACAG